AGAGUUUGAUCAUGGCUCAGAAUGAACGCUGGCGGCAGGCCUAACACAUGCAAGUCGAGCGGGGACUUCGGUCCUAGCGGCGGACGGGUGAGUAACGCGUGGGAACAUACCCUUUGCUACGGAAUAGCCUCGGGAAACUGAGAGUAAUACCGUAUGUGCCCUUCGGGGGAAAGAUUUAUCGGCAAAGGAUUGGCCCGCGUUGGAUUAGGUAGUUGGUGGGGUAAUGGCCUACCAAGCCGACGAUCCAUAGCUGGUUUGAGAGGAUGAUCAGCCACACUGGGACUGAGACACGGCCCAGACUCCUACGGGAGGCAGCAGUGGGGAAUCUUAGACAAUGGGCGCAAGCCUGAUCUAGCCAUGCCGCGUGAUCGAUGAAGGCCUUAGGGUUGUAAAGAUCUUUCAGUGGGGAAGAUAAUGACGGUACCCACAGAAGAGCCC
rnacentral:rRNA from 1 species